rnacentral:rRNA from 1 species
GACGAACGCUGGCGGCGUGCCUAAUACAUGCAAGUCGAACGCUGAAGCGAGGAGCUUGCUCUUCUUGGAUGAGUUGCGGACGGGUGAGUAACGCGUAGGUAACCUGCCUUGUAGCGGGGGAUAACUAUUGGAAACGAUAGCUAAUACCGCAUAACAAUAUGUGACACAUGUUAUUUAUUUGAAAGGCGCAAUUGCUCCACUACAAGAUGGACCUGCGUUGUAUUAGCUAGUAGGGGAGGUAACGGCCCACCUAGGCGAAGGUACAUAACCGAACUGGGAGGGUGAUCGGGCACACUGGGACCGAGACACGGGCCAGACUUCCACGGGAGGGAGCAGUAGGGAAACCUCGGCAAUUGGGGCAACGCUUGCCGAGGAACGCCGCGUGAGGGGAGGAGGGUUUCGGGUCGGAAAGAUCCGUUGUAAGGCAAGAACGAGUGUGGGAGUGGAAAGUGCACACUGUGACGGUAGCUUACCAGAAAGGGACGGCUAACUACGUG